CUUAUCCUUUUUCUCAUAUUCAGCAUAAUAUUCCCUCUACAGACUUGUUUGGAUGAUUUUUCGCAUCAUAACAUAGAUGUUGCAUGUAAUCUCCUUGAGACCUGCAGACAAUUUCUCUAUCGAUCUCCUGAAACUUCUGUGCGAAUGGCCAAUAUGUUGGAAAUUUUGAUGCGGUUGAAAAAUGUCAAGAAUCUGGAUCCUCAUCACAGCACUCUUUUAAAAAAUGUUUAUUAUCUCUGCAAACCACCUGAACGAUCAGCAAGGGUUUCUAAAGUCCGCCCUCCUUUACAUCAGGUAUGCAUAUCGUUUGCAAAAAUUCUUUUACAAGUGACUAGGCCUCGGAUUGCUUUGCUAGGGAAUAUCCCUAGAACUACGGUAUACAGAAAUAUAUUGCAGUAUCCAGAUGCAUCUAGGAUUCCGGGGCUAUUCCGGGAUCUAUUUUUCAAAUGAUAACUAUAUCCGAGAGAGCUGUUACCGACCUAGAUACUAGUGGAGUUCACGGGUUGGAAGCGUUGCAUCAGUCUCUGCAUAAAAAGGAAAUCAAGCUUGUUGUAGCAAAUCCUGGACCGGUUGUGACAGAGAAGCUGCAUUUGUCUAAUUUUGUAGAGUUGAUUGGGGUGGAGAACGUGUUACUCACUGUUGCAGAUGCUGUUCGCAGGUGUUCUCCCCCUGCAGGACCAUGAAAGAUGUCUGGCGUUGCGACUACAUCCAAAGAAGCCUUACUUGCAAACCGCAAUGGGUUGGAAGAGAAGCAAACAAAGUUGCCCAUUUUAUUUGAUUUCAUUGCAAGAUUGGUUCCUUUGGUCAUUUUCCCUUUCCCUUGAGCUCUUUGCUCAUUGCUAAUUUUUUUCACUCUAAAUUGGUAACAAUUAUACUAAUAAAUUAGUACAAAUAAAGAGUUAAUAACUUACAAGUUUUAUUUAUCCACAUAGAAUCUAAUCUUAACACUAAGAAAUUGAAAAAAGUUUGUAUUUCAGCUAAAAUCACAUUGAAAGGUCUAAUCUGAUAUGAUGUAAGUGUGAUAUCAAAGGUUAAUGAAUGCAUGUAGGCUUUGUUUCAUUUUUAUUCCUAGUUAUAUCAAACAUAAUAAAGAGGCGUCAUCAAUGUCGUGCAUUGCUGACACAAAUUACCUCUCAGAAUCUUCAAAGGGCAUAGAAGAGGCAAGCCAAGUCAACAUUGCAGCUGGAAGCUACAUUCUUUGUGGGGAAUCAUCCAAGCAACACUUGGCUUCUUUAGGUUGGGUUUCUUGAUUGACUUGCCUUCUCAUGCUGUGCCAUUGUUGGCUUCAUGGCGGGAGUUGCAAUUACUAGUGCACUCCAACAGCUGAAAGGUCUUUUUGGUAUAAAGGUUUUUACAAAGAAAACCGAUAUAAUUCAU